UCGUAACAAGGUUUCCGUAGGUGAACCUGCGGAAGGAUCAUUACUGAGUGAGGGCCCUCUGGGUCCAACCUCCCACCCGUGUUUAUUGUACCUUGUUGCUUCGGUGCGCCCGCCUCACGGCCGCCGGGGGGCUUCUGCCCCCGGGCCCGCGCCCACCGAAGACACCAUUGAACUCUGUCUGAAGAUUGCAGUCUGAGCAUAAACUAAAUAAGUUAAAACUUUCAACAACGGAUCUCUUGGUUCCGGCAUCGAUGAAGAACGCAGCGAAAUGCGAUAACUAAUGUGAAUUGCAGAAUUCAGUGAAUCAUCGAGUCUUUGAACGCACAUUGCGCCCCCUGGUAUUCCGGGGGGCAUGCCUGUCCGAGCGUCAUUGCUGCCCUCAAGCACGGCUUGUGUGUUGGGCUCCGUCCCCCCGGGGACGGGCCCGAAAGGCAGCGGCGGCACCGAGUCCGGUCCUCGAGCGUAUGGGGCUUUGUCACCCGCUCUGUAGGCCCGGCCGGCGCCAGCCGACAACCCAUCAUCCUUUUCAGGUUGACCUCGGAUCAGGUAGGGAUACCCGCUGAACUUAAGCAUAUCA
rnacentral:misc_RNA from 1 species